UUGGCUGGGGUGGUGCACCCAUCAAACCUUAAGACACAUCUUCUAACUCAAGCUCAGGGAGGACACCUCGUGUGGAGGAGAAGGGCAAAGGCUUGCCUGAUCUUCACUUUGAGUAUGGACCAUGAAAACAGGGCCUCAUGAUCCUUUUGGCUUUUGGGGUUUUGCCCCAAACCCCAAACAUCCCUAACUCACAUCAUGUUUACACCUGUAAAUCGUGAUUUUUAUUUUUCAGAAAGAG
rnacentral:ncRNA from 1 species